rnacentral:rRNA from 1 species
AGAGUUUGAUCCUGGCUCAGGAUGAACGCUAGCUACAGGCUUAACACAUGCAAGUCGAGGGGAAACGAUAUUGGAAGCUUGCUUCCGAUAGGCGUCGACCGGCGCACGGGUGAGUAACGCGUAUCCAACCUGCCCACCACUUGGGGAUAACCUUGCGAAAGUAAGACUAAUACCCAAUGACGUCUAAACUGAAGACAUCUGAAAGAGAUUAAAGAUUUAUCGGUGAUGGAUGGGGAUGCGUCUGAUUAGCUUGUUGGCGGGGUAACGGCCACCAAGGCUACGAUCAGUAGGGGUUCUGAGAGGAAGGUCCCCCACAUUGGAACUGAGACACGGUCCAAACUCCUACGGGAGGCA